ACCAUACCCACAAGCACCAGCUGCAGAUACCAAACCCACAAAACAAAGGUCACCCACUAAAUUUCUCACAUAAAUAUAAUCUGGGUCUCUGUCAAUUUCGUUUUUAAAGCAAGAAAACAACUCUGGGCAUUAAUCAAAUUGCUGAACCUGAAAGAGCAGAGACUUUGGAGAAGUGAGCAGCCUUGGACUGGUGCAGGCAGCUAUCACAAGCAGAAUCAGAAG